UUCCCUCAUUACUUGACGUGUAUAUAGCCCUCUGUUCCCCCCAUGUCUGUGUGUGGAAUUGUUUGUUGUAAAGUGUAUGUGCACUUCAGACUGGUUUGCGACGGGUUAUUUCAACCCAUAUUCUGUUGUUCUGGGUGCCUUUGGAUUUUUCCUCAUUAAACUGCUCCGGUUAAUACCCAGUUCUGCUAUCCUGCGCCUGACCUCCCUGCAGCCCGUUAUGCAACUCUUUCAAGAUCAAUAUCUUAAGGUUUGUACCAUUGAUUUAUCCAAGCGCUGGGAUGCGCAGAGCUUAGAACACGGAGUUAAUGAAAUGGCCAGGAAAUGGCACAGAAAAUUUGGGGCGGUCUCUCCAUAAAAGUCAAUGGCCACAUACCAAUACAUGGAUUUGACAGUCAAAUUAUUACUUAAAUAGCAGUCAACUGUUGUCACUGUUGUUAUUCUAUAGAGGGUGGUGAUUCGUUUAGGUUAACUAACAAAAAAAGUGGUCUGGUCCCUUUUCCAUGAUUUCUCCCGAAAUCAUCAUCCAACAUUCCAAAAUAUAGAUAUAAGCCUUCAAGUACUCAUCUAACCAACUUCUUCAGGGCCAGCCAGGCUCCGUCGCCCCCCAGGCAUCCUGAAACCCAACCCCCAUAAGAAGAAGCCCAAAUACGACCUGCCCUUGCCCAGUAUACAUACAAGAUCACAUGUCAACAGUGGGCGUCAGGCUUGUAAGAGAAAUGAAUUACAUGUGAGAUUCAGUGAACAAGGCUGGAAGGACUGGGUAUUGGCUCCUACGGGUUACUCUGCCUUCUACUGUGAUGGAGAAUGCCUCUACCCUCUGUGUUCCUGCAUGAACUCCACCACCCACACUAUGAUCCAACUAGUGGUCAGUAUGCACUACUACACCCUCUCUCAAAUGAACGCUAACAUUACUGGUUUCAGUGGGAAAGAUGGUAAAUGGUUCAGACAUUAAUGGCAAAUAUAAAAACUAAGAUACCGAAGUUACCGGAGUCUAUGAUGGCAGACUGUUAAUGUAGAGUAGGGAUAUCGAGAAGUAACAUUCAAGACUGAAGCAAUUAUCCCCUCUAGUGGUAUACUUUAUACUGUACCAGGUUACUACACACACUGAUAAUACAAAACAUCGAGGACACCUGCUCUUUCCAUGACAUAGACUGACCAAGUGAAAGCUAUGACCCCUUAUUGAUGUCACUUGUUGAAUCCACUUCAGUCAGAGUAGAUGAAGGGGAGAAAGAAAUAUUUUAAAACCUUGAGAGAAUUGAGACAUGGGUUGUGUGUGUCAUUCAGAGGGUGAUUCGGCAAGAGAAAAGAUUUAACUGUCUUUGAACGGUGUAUGGUAGUAGGUGCCAGGUGCACCGGGUUAAGUGUGUCAAGAACUGCAACACUGCUGUUUUUUUCAUGCUCAACUGUUUCCCAUGUGAAUCAAGAAUGGUCCACCACCCAAAGGACAUCCAGCCAACUUGACACAACAUGGGCCAGCAUCCUUGUGGAACGCUUAGGGCAGCUUGUACCAUGCUGAGACGAAAUGAGGCUGUUCUGAGGGGAAAAGAGUGUGCAACUCAAUAUGAAGAAGAUGUUCCUAAUGUUUUGUGCACUCAGUGUAUGUAGUCCUACAUGUUUUUAAAUAGUACAGUAUCACAA